rnacentral:lncRNA from 1 species
UACGCAAGGGAAAGUGUGAUCCGUCUCUCUUUUUUCUUUUUUUUUUUUCCUUCUUUUUUUUCUAUUAUCCUCAAAACUGAAAUCACAGAUAAUUUAGCAUCAUUUUCGAGCAGGCUCAUUUCGACCUCUGAAACGUCACAGUCUGGACUGUGUGCCAGAAGGAGGAGUGCAUCAAAUCUUGGUUUCUGUGGCCUGCAAACCUGGAGAAAGGGAUUUUCCUCUGCUCCACAAAAGGACAGGUCCUCCCUGCUCAGUGAAUCUUCCAGUGGGGACCUAGACCUGUCAUGGUCCUGGGUAUGCUCAGGUAGGACAGACGGUUCAAGCUCAGUUUCAAGGAUUAGGGUUGGCUCUUCUUUCCCAAAGCCUGGGGAAAGAGGGUUUAUUUGUUCUUAUCUGGUCAGCAGGACCAGGGAAGUGAUUGUCCCUCUGUGCUGGGCUGAGGCCACAGCUCGAGUGCCGUGUCCAGCUCUGGGCCCCUCAGCACAGGGAAUUGAGGGGCUGCAGCGUGCCCAGAGAAGGGAACGGAGCUGGGAAGGGGCUGGAGCCCCAGCAGGGGCUGAGGGAGCUGGGAAAGGGGCUCAGCCUGGAGAAAAGGAGGCUCAGGGGGAAUUUCUGGCUCUGCACAACUCCCUGCCAGGAGGGGACAGCCGGGGGGGAUUUGGGCUCUGCUGCCAGGAACAGGGACAGGAGGAGAGGGAACGGCCUCAGGCUGGGCCAGGGGAGGCUCAGGGUGGACAGCAGCAGGAAUUUCCCCAUGGAAAGGGAGCUCAGGCCUUGGAACUGCCCAGGGAGGUUUGGAGUGCCCAUCCCUGGAGGUGCCCAAGGAGGGGCUGGAGAUGGCACUGAGUGCUCUGGGCUGGGGACAAGGAAUUUGGCACAGCUGGGACUCCAUGGCCUUGGUGAUCUUUUCCUACCUCUGUGAUUCUGGGAUUCUGUUUUCCCUUUGUUUUCAGAAACACAGGGUCAUUUAUACUGGAAAAGUGCUGUUCUCACAUUUUCUCUGUAGAAUCCUUCACUCAGUUCUUCCAAGGACACAGUGAAAGACCCAUCUUGCCUUUGACUCCCUACAGCAAAAUUUUCCAGCUACAGUGUAGGUCUCUUCCCUGUAGUUUUUCCAUAACAUUUAAAAUAUAAUAAGCAAACAAAUAUCUAGUCAUGUUAUAAUGGAGGCAAGAAAAAAAUAAACAUAUGAUAAGCAAUAUCUCA